UCCGUAGGUGGCAAGCGUUAUCCGGAUUUAUUGGGCGUAAAGGGAACGCAGGCGGUCUUUUAAGUCUGAUGUGAAAGCCUUCGGCUUAACCGGAGUAGUGCAUUGGAAACUGGGAGACUUGAGUGCAGAAGAGGAGAGUGGAACUCCAUGUGUAGCGGUGAAAUGCGUGGAUAUAUGGAAGAACACCAGUGGCGAAGGCGGCUCUCUGGUCUGCAACUGACGCUGAGGCUCGAAAGCAUGGGUAGCGAACAGG
rnacentral:rRNA from 1 species